UAUAAUGACGCAUAGUAAUCCGCUAAUGUAUUCACUAUGUCUUGGGGGUUAUAGAUUUUGUCACCACUUUUGGAGAAUAUGUAGGGAAUCUUGGAUUGGAGGUAUUUUUGUUUCAGGCGGCCAACUAGCAGUUUGCCUGCUUUAUUCCCUAGUGUAUAGUGAGAUUGUUUCAGGUAUCGCAUUUGCUUCUCAGUCGUUUGUAGUUGUAACUCGCGUAAUUUGGUCUUGAGUGUCUGUAGUCGUGUGUG